rnacentral:misc_RNA from 1 species
GAUGAAGAACGCAGCGAAAUGCGAUAAGUAAUGUGAAUUGUAGAAUUCCGUGAAUCAUCGAAUCUUUGAACGCACAUUGCGCCCCCUGGUAUUCCGGGGGGCAUGCCUGUCCGAGCGUCAUUGCAACCCUCAAGCGCGGCUUGUGUGUUGGGCUUCGUCCCCCCGUGGACGUGCCCGAAAGGCAGUGGCGGCGUCCCGAAUGGUGCCCGAGCGUAUGGGAACUCUCUUCCGCUCGAACCGGCCCAUUCGGCGCUGGUCGAACCCCAAUUUUUUUUUACCGGUUGACCUCGGAUCAGGUAGGGAUACCCGCUGAACUUAAGCAUAUCAAUAAGCGGAGGA